AUGAGACUGGAUGUGUUCAACAGAAGACAGAAAGCAAAGCUACAACGGAUAGAGCGAAUAAAGCUAUCUGCAGAAGGCAUCCCUCCAAGCAAGAAUCCUACUGCAGACCAAACUCCCAUCUCACAGCAUUUGAAGGACUCCACCAAUGAAGAACCUAGAAAUGAUGUCCAGCCUGUUCUCCAUGAGAAUGUUCUAUUAUGUAGCACUGAAACAUGUGGUAAAUGUCUCCAAUCUCUUGAGCAAGAAUGCCAAGCUCUGAGGACUGAAAAUGUGUUGCUGAAAGAAAAAACAAAUAACACUACACUGAAUGAAAUAAGCUUGCAUAAUGAUGAUAAAACAGUUGAUAUUCUUACUGGUUUACCAACGUAUACAAUUCUCAUGACAGUUUUUCAUUUUGUGGCUCCUUUUCUCAAACUUAAAUCUUGUUUAACAUGUUUUCAGCAGUACAUGUUAAUGUUAAUGAAGCUUAGAAUGAACUUGUUCUUUGACUUUUUGGCUUUUUACUUCAAAAUUGACUCAACCACUGUAUCAGUGUGAUGCAUUGUAGACUGGUGCUAAGUCUAGUGUUGUGGCCUGACAGAGAAUCCCUAAGACAAUCUCUGCCAUAUGCAUUUCCGAACAGCAGCUUUGAGAAAACUGUUUGCAUCAUAGAUUGUUUAGAAAUAUUUCUAGAGAAACCAAGUAGGUUGCUAGCCAGUGCUUAGUGUUACUCCUUGAAUAAGUCACAUCACACAAUAAAAAAAUUAAUUGCAAUUUGACCUCAAGGUUCUAUUUGUUUCAUCUCCUCUGGAUGGGGAGGUCGCACAAGUGAUACGUUUAUUACAGAACAAAGUAAUUUUUUAUCUCAUUUGCUCCCAGGUGAUGUAGUUUUAGCAGACAGGGGUGUCCUGGUUAAAGAGUCCAUUCAGAGAUUCCAAGCAGACCCAUAUGGAAAAGAAACAGAAAAAACUUAUAAAAGACUUGCAUAAGAUGUGGCCUACUUCAUAUAGUGAAUCAUAUAAGGCUUAUAUGAUUUACUCAUGAAAGUGGCCACUUUCUCAUUACUUUCAUAUAUUGUUUUAGUAAGUAUCCAAAACAUACAAGUUUCAUUUAUAUAAUUUUUCAAGGGAUGUUAUAUCUGUUUUCACUCUUGUAUGCUUUUUAUACAAGUUUCACACAAGACAGAUACAAACUUUAUAAGAUUUAUAUAUAUCUUUUCCAUAUGGGGAAUUAAAGAUUCCAGCAUUUACACGUGGAAAGAAACAGUUGAAUCCUGUUGAUUUGGAGAACACCAGAUGUCUUGCUUCUCUCAGGAUACAUAUAAAAGAGUAAUAGGAGUUCACCGUCAAAAGUACACGAUCUUGCAAAGGACUGUCCCCAUAACUUUUACAGACAUAAACAGAGAAAAUGAUGUAACCUAUCUUGACAAGAUUGUGGGUGUAUGUUGUGCACUUACAAAUGUAUCUGAAUCUGUGGUGCCCUUCCAGUGAUGUAAAUGAAAAUGAUGUAACUGAUGUGCUCAACCAACAAAUACACAUUAUUAACUCUCACUUUUUGUUUGCUUAUUGUGACUUGACUUUUGAAGGGAAAGCUUUCUUACCUGUCCUACAAAUAUCAGAAUAAGAGAAUGGCAGACGUCACCUGGACUCAUUAUUUUUUGAUCUUCACAUCCAUCUCAAAUGACUUCCACUAAUCACGUUUCAUAUUCCUGAUUGACAGAUACAGAUCAGAAUCAAAAUCAGAAAAAGUAGUUUUAUUGCAUUUGUCAGUGAACAAAAAUCACUUUCAUAACUUGCUUCAGUGGUAAGGUGCAAUAUAAAACACUGAAUUAUAUUAAUAACAAAAAUAGCAUUAAUUUAGAAUUUUAAUUUAGGUUUGAUGAUCUUCCCCUCUUGUGUGCGGCAUUGGGAGAGGUUGUGAUACAGUUGGUCUUGCUCAGCAGUAUCAGACGUGGGAAAGCUGGGAGGCCAGGAUGGUCUUUAGCAGAUUUCUCUUUUUUAUUUUGUUUAGAGUUGUUAAAAAUGAUGUCCUUGCAUUGCUGAUACUCCACUUUCUUUAAAGACUCCUCACUUGGGAUGGCCCACUUGCACUUCUUAGAUGUAACAGCUAUCUCUUCUUUUUUCCCACUGGUAUGCUGCCAUGUGCUGAACAACACAGCUGACACAUGUGAGCAGCUCUCACCAAGGCCAGCUGUGCAGUUACUGUGUGCGCCGAAAACAACCCAUCUUUUCUCACUACUACUCAUGGCUUUAACUGAGGGUCAUUAAGCCUUUGGGAAUGUUGAACCUAUAAAUACAAUUACAAAUGUUAACAAUCUUGGUUAAGUACAUCAAAAACACAAAAUAGCUACUGACAACCAGACGUGUUUUAGCCAAGCUAAUGUAAACCAACGACAACGCGGACCACGCUAACAAUGCUAACAUUACACCACCUGGGAUAAUAAUAUGACACUUACCUUUCCAGUGAUGAUGAAGAAUUUUUUUUGCUUGAAGAUUCCACACCUGAAUGUUUGUUACAAAGCCAGAUUGAGUCCAAUUGUAACCCUCCAGGCUUUUGUAAGCUUUUAAAGAGUCCCCCGAGUAGGACGAUGGUAGUUGUCCGGAUAGCAUAGAUCUGGGACGUCUUCUUCCGCUGAAAUACUUUUGAAAAGCACGCCGAGAGCAUUGUACGGGUCGGUAAUAUUUAACCUAUUUAGUUUUUUGAUAUACAGCUCGAUGUUGUGCGAAUUAAAGUGAGAAGAAUACUCAGAUGGCUUGAAAGUUUCUGGAGUGCUGCUUACAGUGGCGCUGUUCAUGUUGCUGCCAAAAUGGCCACCUGACAACUGUUAGUCACGUGAGGUCCGGAGCUUAUUUUGGUUCCUGCAACUGGUCCGUCGGGUUAUUGUCUCCCCAGAAACACUUCCGUUGUGUUUUUUUCUAUUUGUGUUUUGUUUUUUCCUAUUUCUGUUGUCGUUUGUCCUAUUUCCGUUGUGUUUUGUGUGCUUUUGCAGCGUUUUUCUUAUUGCUGGUGUUUUCUUAAGUUGCAGUCCGUUUGGCCUCUCAGGGCCACCGUCACUUACUGUAACCUUAACCAUCAAAAGUGAAUGCCGAACCAUAACCUAACUGGAACCCUGACAUUAAAACCACUUUUUG
ensembl:lncRNA